rnacentral:rRNA from 1 species
GAGUUUGAUCAUGGCUCAGGACGAACGCUGGCGGCGUGCCUAACACAUGCAAGUCGAACGAGGCCAUCCUUUCGGGGAUGAGUCGAGUGGCGGACGGGUGAGUAACACGUAAGCAACCUGCCUGGAGUUGGGGGAUAACCUCGGGAAACCGGGGCUAAUACCGCAUGAGCUCAUCUGGCCGAGUGGCUGGGUGAGGAAAGGAGCUUUCGGGCUACUGGCUUCAAGAGGGGCUCGCGGCGUAUCAGCUAGUUGGUGAGGUAACGGCUCACCAAGGCGACGACGCGUAGGGGGUCUGGAGAGGAUGGGCCCCCCACAUUGGGACUGAGAUACGGCCCAGACUCCUACGGGAGCAGCAGUGGGGAAUCUUGCGCAAUGGCCGAAAGGCUGACGC